GAUUGGCUCUCCAGGCUAAUGAACCCCUUCCCAUUAGGCGUUUCCUGCUAGCUUUCUGGCCGGGAAAGCAGGGUGGUGGCUGUCGCUCUGGUCUGGUACUUGUCUGCUGCAACCUCGAGGUGCAGAAAAUGCUCAGAGCCCUGGACAAACAGUCCUUCGCUAGACCUGCCUGGGAAGGGGAUUAGCUACGGGGUGUGAACAGCUGAGAUGGUGUGGCUGUGCCUUGGUUCCCAGUACUUUUGUACUCUUUUUUGGACCUUCUAUCAUGUCAGUUGCGGAGGCUACAAGUCCAAAAUGAAGGUGCUGAGAGAACCGUGCUUUCCUGGAAGUCUGUAGAAGAGGAUUCUUUCUUGUUUCAGCCUCUGGCAGCCCUAGGCAUUUCUUGGCUUGAGGCAACAUCACUUCGAUCUCUGCUUCUAACAACAUGGUCAUCUUUGUAUCUGUUUCCUCUUCUUCUGAGGACACCAGUCAUAUUGGAUUGGGGCUCACCUUCCUCCAGUAUGACCUCAGUUUACCUUAACUAAUUACAUCUGCAAUGACUCUAUUUACAAAGAAAGUCACAUUCUGAAAUAUUGGGGGGUUAGGGCUUCGACAUAUCCUCUUUGAGGGGAGACGAUUCAACACACAUCAGAGCCCUUCCACUGUCCAUCACAACAGACCUUGAAGCCAGGAGGGUUCCAGGGCACUUCUCCAGCUUCACUUCCAGAUAUGCUUCUGACCAUGGCAGCCAUGUUUCCCUCUGCAUUGCCUAGUUCAGGGCCCUGCCACAGCCAGGGAGGAUGAAACACUGCACGCAUACCCUUAUCUCAUUGCGUCCCAUGCAUCCUGGGCUUGGUAAGUCGAAUGCAGAGUGUUUGUUUUUUGUUCUUUUUUUUUUUUUUUUUUUUUUUUGAGAUGGAGUCUUGCUCUGUUGCCCAGGCUGGAGUGCAGGGGUGUGAUUUUGGCUCACUGCAACCUCUGCCUCCUGGAUUCAAGUGAUUCUUCUGCCUCGGGCUCCUGAGUAGCUGGGAUUACAGGCAACUGCCACUAUGCUCUGCUAAUUUUUGUAUUUUAGUAGAGAUGAGUUUUCGCCAUGUUGGCCAGGCUGGUCUUGAACUCCUGACCUCAAGUGAUCUGUAGGGCACUCUUAAGAGUUCUGAUCAAGCACCACUUCCCUAGGCCAGAGCCCUCCUGCAUGAGAGGGUUAGCCUGCUGAAAUGGACAUAAUUCAUCUGCAGGGCUUUUCCUCCCUGCACUGCUCCCUGCCUCACAUCUGCUUACCCCACUGCCAGGAAAAGUUGUCACAGCAGACACAGCAGAGACAUUCUCUCAAAUCCCAUUGUUUAGAGGACAUUGAGAUUGGCUCAGGCUGAGUGACAAUCACAGCUGAGCAAAAAAGGGCAGAGA
rnacentral:lncRNA from 1 species